UUGACCUACGGGGGCAGCAGUGGGGAAUAUUGGACAAUGGGGGGAACCCUGAUCCAGCGACGCCGCGUGAGUGAAGAAGUAUUUCGGUAUGUAAAGCUCUAUCAGCAGGGAAGAAAGAAAUGACGGUACCUGACUAAGAAGCCCCGGCUAACUACGUGCCAGCAGCCGCGGUAAUACGUAGGGGGCAAGCGUUAUCCGGAAUCACUGGGUGUAAAGGGAGCGUAGACGGCUGUGCAAGCCUGAAGUGAAAGGCGGGGGCCCAACCCAUGGACUGCUUUGGGAACUGUACGGCUUGAGGGCUGGAG
rnacentral:rRNA from 1 species